ACUUUUAAAGGAUGGCAGUCAUCCAUUGGCCUUAGGAGUCAAAAAUAUU
rnacentral:tRNA from 2 species